rnacentral:lncRNA from 1 species
UUUCACUUCACUGACUAUGGUAGGUUUUUGUGGCCGGAAAGUUUUUCCAGUGGAUUACCCCUGGGACAAGGAGAAGUACAUGUUCUGUAAGAGCUAAAUUGAGAUUGAAGUUCCAAAGUGGCUUAAGGAAGGGGGAAAGUGGGAGUAUCAAGGAAGGUGGUGAAAUAAGGUUGGGAGCAGAGACAGGACUGCAUCGCAGGAGCCCACUCAGAUAGCAGACUCUGCAUCUGGCUCCUCAGCCUCCACUGGGAGCCCCUCAGCAAGACUGUUACGGGGACACAGAAGCAGGUGGAAAACCUCACAAGACUCAGUCAACUCUAUUGGCAUCAUGUCUUGCUCCAAGGACUCAGAUGAGCUUAUUUUCUUUGUGAAUGGAAGAAAACUUCCCUGUGGGAACUCUGAAGUCACUUCUCUGUCGCUGCCUGCCUGGUGCCCAUCUGUUCUCUCUAUGGGGCUGCUGUCACUAUGGUAGAAAGCACAGGAAGCACCAAAAGCAGGAUUCAUCCUGUUCAGGUAAGAGCAUAUUUUAACACUUUUAGGAUAAACAUUGGUUUAGGUAGCUUCUUUAAUUGUCUGGACUUUGGCUUAUAGUUUUAGAGGACACAGAUUGUUGCAGGGACAGAUGAGGCAAGGCACCAAAGAUUCUAGAAAACAGUUUUAUUUGGUUGCAGCCAGGUUCAGAGGGCACAGCUUUUGCUGUAAUCAAUCAAUUCCCUGAACCCUGAGUUCAGGUAGUUUCAGAGUUUUAUACUCAGCAUGUAAGGGGAGGGGCUCAGAAGUUCACAGUCUGCAGAAGUU